AUUGAACGCUGGCGGCAGGCUUAACACAUGCAAGUCGAGCGGGGACUUCGGUCCUAGCGGCGAACGGGUGAGGAAUGCUUGGGAAUCUGCCCAGUAGUGGGGGAUAACGUUUCGAAAGGAACGCUAAUACCGCAUACGUCCUACGGGAGAAAGGGGGGGAUCUUCGGACCUCUCGCUAUUGGAUGAGCCCAAGUCGGAUUAGCUAGUUGGUGAGGUAAAGGCUCACCAAGGCGACGAUCCGUAGCUGGUCUGAGAGGAUGAUCAGCCACACUGGAACUGAGACACGGUCCAGACUCCUACGGGAGGCAGCAGUGGGGAAUAUUGGACAAUGGGCGAAAGCCUGAUCCAGCCAUGCCGCGUGUGUGAAGAAGGCCUUCGGGUUGUAAAGCACUUUAAGCGAGGAGGAAUGGCUCUUGGUUAAUAACCUUGAGCAGUGACGUUACUCGCAGAAUAAGCACCGGCUAACUCUGUGCCAGCAGCCGCCGCCGUAA
rnacentral:rRNA from 1 species